GAUUGAACGCUGGCGGCAGGCCUAACACAUGCAAGUCGAGCGGAUGAAGGGAGCUUGCUCCUGGAUUCAGCGGCGGACGGGUGAGUAAUGCCUAGGAAUCUGCCUGGUAGUGGGGGAUAACGUCCGGAAACGGGCGCUAAUACCGCAUACGUCCUGAGGGAGAAAGUGGGGGAUCUUCGGACCUCACGCUAUCAGAUGAGCCUAGGUCGGAUUAGCUAGUUGGUGGGGUAAAGGCCUACCAAGGCGACGAUCCGUAACUGGUCUGAGAGGAUGAUCAGUCACACUGGAACUUAGACACGGUACAGACUCCCACGGGAGGCAGCAGUGGGGAAUAUUGGACAAUGGGCGAAAGCCUGAUCCAGCCAGGCCGCGUGUGUGAAGAAGGUCUUCGGAUUGUAAAGCACUUUAAGUUGGGAGGAAGGGAAGUAAGUUAAUACCUUGCUGUUGUGACGUUACCAACAGAAUAAGCACCGGCUAACUUCGUG
rnacentral:rRNA from 1 species